rnacentral:lncRNA from 1 species
GAGAGAACUUCAUGGCCGAGUGGAUGGGGUAGCCGUUGGGGCCCAUGAUGUUGCACCGAGCAUUGCACAGCAGCAGCACGCGGACCAUCUCCUGCUUCCCCAGCUGGCAGGCCAGGUGCAGCGGGGUCAGCCCUUGGUUAUUCACCUGGUUCAGGCCAGCCACUGCGUUCCUUCCAAGGAGCUGAUGAAAGAGGAAGGGAAGUUUGACUCCAUAGGAUGCUGAUAAGAACGUAAAGAGGCCGGGCGCAGUGGCUCAUGCCUGUAAUCCUAGCACUUUGGGAGGCCAAGGAGGGGGAUCGCUUGAGUCCAGGAGUUUGAGACCAGCCUGGACAACAUGGUGAAACCCCAUCUCUACAAAAAAUACAAAAAUUAGCCAUGCAUGGUGGCUCAUGCCUGUAGUCCCAGCUACUUGGGAGGCUGAGGCAGGAGGAUCACUUAAGCCCAGAAGGCAGAGGUUGUAGUGAGCUGAGAUCGCACCACUGCACUCCAGCCUGGGCAACAUAGCAAAAUCCUGUCUCAAAAAAAAAGUUAAAAAAUAUUGCCCGGCUCCUAGAAUUUAUUUAUUUCCUGACUUACAGCAAGCGAGUUAUCGUCUUCUGUAUUUUGUAGACUUUCUAAAUAAAGUCAAAUUCUUUCUUUUUCCACAGAGAAUAAAUGUGUAUCCUGGACUAUGUUUUUUGGCGAGGGGUGUCUAAAAUGGGGUUCUGCUUUCAACCCCUUAGGGCUUCUGGUGGCGGGGAGGGCUAGUGCACAUCACCAGCUAUUGCACAGGGUAUGAGGUGGAGGGGAGAUGGCGACAGAGACCAGUGAUGCUGAAACUUCGAUGCUUCCUCUUGGUUGCUUAGAGCACAGGAGCUCCUGGGAAGACAAAGCCAUGGGCACAAUGAAAUUUAGGACUGGAUUCUGGCGGAGCAUGGUGGCUCACACCUGUAAUCCCAGCACUUUGGGAGGCUGAAGCAAGAGGAUCAUCUGAGACUAGGAGUCCAAGAGCAACCCGGGCAACAUAGUGACACCCCAUCUCUACAAAAAAUAAAAAAUAAUUAGCCACAUGUGGUGGUACACAUGCCUAUUGUUCCAGCUACUGAAGAGGCUGAGGUGGGAGGAUCACUUGAGGCCAGGAGUUUGAGACCAGGCUGGGCAACAUAGCAAGACCCCCAUCUCUACAAGAAAUUUAAAAGUAAGAAAACAGGCCGGGCGCAGUGGCUCACACCUGUAAUCCCAGCACUUUGGGAGGCUGAGGCGGGUGGAUCAUUUGAGGUCAGGAGUUCAAGACCAGCCUGACCAACAUGGUGAAACCCCGUCUCUACUAAAAAUACAAAAAACAACAACAACAAAAAAAAAACAUGGCCCGGGUGCGGUGGCUCACGCCUGUAAUCCCAGCACUUUGGGAGGCUGAGGCAGGCGGAUCACGAGGUCAGGAGAUCGAGACCAUCCUGGCUAACACGGUGAAACCCCGUCUCUACUAAAAAUACAAAAAACAACAACAACAAAAAAAAAACAUGGCCCGGGUGCGGUGGCUCAUGCCUGUAAUCCCAGCACUUUGGGAGGCUGAGGCAGGCAGAUCACGAGGUCAGGAGAUCGAGACCAUCCUGGCUAACACGGUGAAACCCCGUCUCUACUAAAAAUACAAAAAAAAUUAGCCGGGCAUGGUGGCGGGCGCCUGUAGUCCCAGCUACUCGGGAGGCUGAGGCAGGAGAAUGGUGUGAAGCCGGGAGGCGGAGCUUGCAGUGAGCUGAGAUCGCGCCACUGGACUCCAGCCUGGGCGACAGAGUGAGACUCCGUCUCAAAAAAAAAAAGAAAAACAAAACAAAAAACAGAAAAACAUAGCUGAGUGUGGUGGCGCAUGUCUGUAGUCCUGGCUACUCAGGAGGUUGAGACAAGAGAGAAUCGCUUAAACCCGGGAAGCAGAGGUUGCAGUAAGCUGAGAUCGCGCCACUGCACUCCAGCCUGGGUGACAGAGCAAGACUCCAUCUCAAAAAAAAAAAAAAAAAGAAAAGAAAAGAAAAGAAAACAAUUAGCCAGUCAUGGUGGUGUGGUUGAGCCCAGGAGUUUGAGGCUGCAGUGAGCUAUGAUUGCACCACUGCACAAUCUAGGUGACACAGACCCUGUCUCAAAAGAAGAAGAAAUUUAGGGUUAAAUUCCCUGGGCAUCCCUUUAGUGAACAGACAGUCCCACCCAGAGAGGAAAAAACCCAGAUUUCAGAGUAAUUUUUCCAGCACUUUCACAUUGAGAUCUGAUUUUCUACAGCCAAGUGGAAACUAUCUUCCCCAUGUUUCGGAAUGCCCAGGGAGGCAGGGAGAGUGGCUUUCCCAGCCCCCACCUGCAGGCCUAAACCAUAACCCUGUGUCUUGUCCUAGGCCUCAAACUCACUAAUUUCAACCCAAUCUGCCAGCCCUUCUGGGGCACCCUGAAGAAGGAGUGGAGUAUACUGUGGUCUGUGGGUCACGGCAAUUGGGGUUUGAAUCUAGGUGUCUGUUCUUAGCUGUGGGAUCUUUGGUACUUAUUUGGUUUCUUACAGUCUCAGUUUACCAUCUGUAAAAUGAAGAUGCUAUGGGGCAUUACGUGCGAAAAACCCUGGAGACCUGUGGGGCUGCAGGUUUUAACACUCCGAACACACAUUUACAGUGGCACAGACCGAGGUGAGGCCAACUCUAUGGCUGGGUAUGGGGCUGGCUGGGUAUGGGGCCCGCGGGGUAAGGGACCAGUUGGGCGAAGGUGC